rnacentral:rRNA from 1 species
UACGGAGGGGGCUAGCGUUGUUCGGAAUUACUGGGCGUAAAGCGCACGUAGGCGGCUUUGCAAGUCAGAGGUGAAAGCCCCGGGCUCAACCUGGGAAUGGCAGUGGAUACUGGCAAGCUAGAGUGCGGUAGAGGGGUGUGGAAUUCCCGGUGUAGCGGUGAAAUGCGUAGAGAUCGGGAGGAACACCAGUGGCGAAGGCGGCACCCUGGACCAGCACUGACACUGAGGCACGAAAGCGUGGGGAGCAAACAGG